AUUGAACGCUGGCGGCAGGCUUAACACAUGCAAGUCGAGCGGAGCGGAGGACGGGUGAGUAAUGCCUAGGAAUCUGCCUGGUAGUGGGGGAUAACGUCCGGAAACGGGCGCUAAUACUGCAUACUAUCAGAUGAGCCUCGGUCGGAUUAGCUAGUUGGUGGGGUAAAGGCCUACCAAGGCGACGAUCCGUAACUUGUGCGAGAGGAUGAUCAGUCACACGGGAACUGAGACCCGGUCGAGACUCCUACGGGAGGCAGCAGUGGGGAAUAUUGGACAAUGGGCGAAAGCCUGAUCCCGCCAGGCCGCGUGUGUGAAGAAGGUCUUCGGAUUGUAAAGCACUUUAGGUUGGGAGGCGGUACCAAAAGAAUAAGCACCGGCUAACUUCGUGCCAGCAGCCGCGGUAAUAC
rnacentral:rRNA from 1 species